rnacentral:rRNA from 1 species
UACGUAGGUGGCAAGCGUUGUCCGGAUUUAUUGGGUUUAAAGGGCGCGUAGGUGGCGGGACAAGCGUGCGGUGAAAGCUCGGGGCUCAACCCCGAGUCGGCCGUGCGAACUGUUUUGCUUGAGCACUGUAGAGGCAGGCGGAAUUCCGGGUGUAGCGGUGGAAUGCGUAGAGAUCCGGAAGAACACCGGUGGCGAAGGCGGCCUGCUGGGCAGUAGCUGACACUGAGGCGCGACAGCGUGGGGAGCAAACAGG